rnacentral:rRNA from 1 species
AGAGGGCGUGAAACUGCAUAGAAGGAAACGUGAGGUGUUGUCUGUGCUGUCAGUGUACAACUGCAGGGUUUUUCUCGGCAGUGCAUUCACUGGCAGCGGCGCUGGAACUGAUGAGAUUUGUUGUCUGAUUUCACUUUUGGUCGCUAUUUCGUGUAGUGGUCGGAGUGUUUUUGGGGUUCAGAUCUUAUCAGUGUUGUCAGCCUCUGGUUCUUUUUUAUAUUGAAAUACUUUGUGUAAUUUGGGGCUAGCAAAGCCCUUUGUUGCUCAUUGGAUUUUUGUGUAUUAAGACAACGUAAUCCAGCGAAAAGACAACUUACCUCACGACCCGUCUUGAAACACGGACCAAGGAGUCUAACAUGUGCGCGAGUCACUGGGUUUCAAACCCAAUGGCGGAAUGAAAGUAAAUGUCGGCUCUGUUGACUGAUACACGAACCGAAGUAAUUCGGUGCAGUGUAGUCCCAUCCUGAUUGUUCUCAAUGGGGUGGAGAAAGAGCGUAUUUGUUGGGACCCGAAAGAUGGUGAACUAUGCCUGAACAGGAUGAGGCCAGAGGAAACUCUGGUGGAAGUCCGAAGGGUUCUGACGUGCAAAUCGA